CGAUGGGUGCUAGGUGUGGGCGGUGUCGACUCCGUCCGUGCCGAAGCUAACGCAUUAAGCACCCCGCCUGGGGAGUACGGCCGCAAGGCUAAAACUCAAAGGAAUUGACGGGGGCCCGCACAAGCAGCGGAGCAUGUGGUUUAAUUCGACGCAACGCGAAGAACCUUACCAGGGCUUGACAUGCACGGGAAUGUCGUGGAAACACGGCAGCCUUCGGGCUCGUGCACAGGUGGUGCAUGGCUGUCGUCAG
rnacentral:rRNA from 1 species